CCUACGGGUGGCUGCAGUCGAGAAUCAUUCACAAUGGGGGAAACCCUGAUGGUGCGACGCCGCGUGGGGGAAUGAAGGUCUUCGGAUUGUAAACCCCUGUCAUGUGGGAGCAAAUUAAAAAGAUAGUACCACAAGAGGAAGAGACGGCUAACUCUGUGCCAGCAGCCGCGGUAAUACAGAGGUCUCAAGCGUUGUUCGGAAUCACUGGGCGUAACGCGUGCGUAGGCUGUUUCGUAAGUCGUGUGUGAAAGGCACGGGCUCAACCCGCGGACGGCACAGGAGACUGCGAGACUAGAGUAAAGGAGGGGGAACCGGAAUUCUCGGUGUAGCAGUGAAAUGCGUAGAGAUCGAGAGGAACACUCGUGGCGAAGGCGGGUUCCUGGACAUUAACUGACGCUGAGGCACGAAGGCCAGGGGAGCGAAAGGGAUUAGAUACCCUAGUAGUC
rnacentral:rRNA from 1 species